GCCGCGGUGGUGGAACUGGUAGACACGUCAGCCUUAGGAGCUGGUGGCCAUCUGGCUGUGCGAGUUCGAGUCUCGCCCGCGGCA
rnacentral:tRNA from 1 species